rnacentral:rRNA from 1 species
GACGAACGCUGGCGGCGUGCUUAACACAUGCAAGUCGAACGGAAAGGCCCUGCUUGCAGGGUACUCGAGUGGCGAACGGGUGAGUAACACGUGGGUGAUCUGCCCUGCACUUCGGGAUAAGCCUGGGAAACUGGGUCUAAUACCGGAUAGGAGCCAUUUUUAGUGUGAUGGUUGGAAAGUUUUUUCGGUGUAGGAUGAGCUCGCGGCCUAUCAGCUUGUUGGUGGGGUAAUGGCCUACCAAGGCGGCGACGGGUAGCCGGCCUGAGAGGGUGGACGGCCACAUUGGGACUGAGCUACGGCCCAGACUCCUACGGGAGGCAGCAGUGGGGAAUAUUGCACAAUGGGCGCAAGCCUGAUGCAGCGACGCCGCGUGGGGGAUGACGGCCUUCGGGUUGUAAACUACUUUCGCUAGGGACGAAGCUUUUUGUGACGGUACCUAGAUAAGAAGCACCGGCUAACUACGUG